rnacentral:misc_RNA from 1 species
GAUGAAGAACACAGCAAAAUGCGAUAAGUAAUGUGAAUUGCAGAAUUCAGUGAAUCAUCGAAUCUUUGAACGCACAUUGCGCCCGCUGGUAUUCCGGCGGGCAUGCCUGUUCGAGCGUCAUUUCAACCCUCAAACCCCCGGGUUUGGUGUUGGGGAUCGGCUCUGCCUCACGGCGGUGCCGCCCCCGAAAUACAUUGGCGGUCUCGCUGCAGCCUCCAUUGCGUAGUAGCUAACACCUCGCAACUGGAACGCGGCGCGGCCAUGCCGUAAAACCCCAACUUCUGAAUGUUGACCUCGGAUCAGGUAGGAAUACCCGCUGAACUUAAGCAUAUCAAUAAGCGGAGGA